rnacentral:sRNA from 1 species
GGAGCCGAUGCAAAAGCACUGGAAACAAUGGUGAAAAAGUACGCAGACAACUCGGCAGCCGACUCACUGGUUGCUGGUCAAAUGGACUUGACACCUCUUGUCGAUAAGAAACAAAUGGAAU